UACGUAGGGUGCAAGCGUUGUCCGGAAUUAUUGGGCGUAAAGAGCUCGUAGGCGGUUUGUCGCGUCUGCUGUGAAAACUCGGGGCUUAACUUCGUAAAGGCAGUGGAAACUGGUUGACUAGAGUAAGGUAGGGGUAGCGGGAAUUCCUGGUGUAGCGGUGAAAUGCGUAGAUAUCAGGAAGAACACCGGAGGCGAAAGCGCGCUACUGGGCUUUAACUGACACUGAGGGACGAAAGCUAGGGGAGCGAAAGGG
rnacentral:rRNA from 1 species